rnacentral:rRNA from 1 species
UGGGGAAUAUUGCACAAUGGGGGAAACCCUGAUGCAGCGACGCCGCGUGAAGGAAGAAGUAUUUCGGUAUGUAAACUUCUAUCAGCAGGGAAGAAAAUGACGGUACCUGACUAAGAAGCUCCGGCUAAAUACGUGCCAGCAGCCGCGGUAAUACGUAUGGAGCAAGCGUUAUCCGGAUUUACUGGGUGUAAAGGGAGCGUAGGCGGUAGGGCAAGUCUGAUGUGAAACUCCGGGGCUCAACUCCGGACUUGCAUUGGAAACUGUCAGACUGGAGUGCGGGAGAGGCAGGCGGAAUUCCUAGUGUAGCGGUGAAAUGCGUAGAUAUUAGGAGGAACACCAGUGGCGAAGGCGGCCUGCUGGACCGUAACUGACGCUGAGGCUCGAAAGCGUGGGGAGCGAACAGGAUUAGAUACCCUGGUAGU